UACAGGGGGUGCAAACGUUGCUCGGAAUCAUUGGGCGUAAAGCGCACGUAGGCGGACUGUUAAGUCGGGGGUGAAAUCCUGGGGCUCAACCUCAGAAUUGCCUCCGAUACUGGCAGUCUCGAGUGCGGGAGAGGUGAGUGGAAUUCCCAGUGUAGAGGUGAAAUUCGUAGAUAUUGGGAAGAACACCAGUGGCGAAGGCGGCUCACUGGCCCGUAACUGACGCUGAGGUGCGAAAGCGUGGGGAGCAAACAGG
rnacentral:rRNA from 1 species